AGCGAACGCUGGCGGCAGGCCUAACACAUGCAAGUCGAGCGGCCGUAGCAAUACGGCAGCGGCAGACGGGAGAGUAACACGUGGGAACGUGCCCUUUGGUUCGGAAUAACGCAGGGAAACUUGCGCUAAUACCGAAUAAGCCCUUACGGGGAAAGAUUUAUCGCCAAUGGAGCGGCCCGCGUCUGAUUAGCUAGUUGGUGAGGUAACGGCUCACCAAGGCUACGAUCAGUAGCUGGUCUGAGAGGAUGAUCAGCCUCACUGGGACUGAGACACGGCCCAGACUCCUACGGGAGGCAGCAGUGGGGAAUAUUGGACAAUGGGCGCAAGCCUGAUCCAGCCAUGCCGCGUGAGUGAUGAAGGCCCUAGGGUUGUAAAGCUCUUUUACCCGGGAAGAUAAUGACUGUACCGGGAGAAUAAGCCCCGGCUAACUUCGUGCCAGCAGCCGCCGCCGUAAC
rnacentral:rRNA from 1 species